GCGGGGCGCGCUUGUAGUUUUGCGGUUUGCGCGGCCGUUCGGCAACCUUCUCUGGUUCUCGCGCUUGUUCGUGAAAUACUUCAUUUUACAGGCGUGGUAGCAUCGAACUCGUAUUAGCUGAGCUGUCAAAUGCGCGGUAGUUUAACCACUGCAUCGUUUAGAAAAGCUGCCGACAAUCCGUGAUUUCAAAGUACAGGCAUCACACAAUGUAAUUCCGAUGGCUAACCAGUCCAAGUUUCUUCAUUGCGUUAGAUGCGGAGAUAAGUCAAUCACGGUCCAGAAAUUCACUUGGAUAGAAAGUGCCCAUGUGACACCUGCAUGCUCAAUCAAGCCUCGCUAUUCGCUUCCAUGGCUGCGCGAGCGAUGAAAAAAAAAAAAAAAAAACAUUCGACUUUGAGCGUGCGGUUAUCACCCCACGGUUUCUGCGCAUGGAGCAACAUGUGACAGUGGACUAGUUGGUAUUCCAUACUUCGAACUGCUCAGUGCUCAGCGCUAAACACAGCAACACAAGUGAGAUAAAGAUAAGCGCCGGCAUGCCGCUGGAACUUAUCACAAUUCCCAAAUGUGUUGCCCUACACCCGAGAUUAAAACAGCAUGUGUAUGCUGAAAACAACAACAAAAAAAAACGAAUUGAAGCAUAAAAUCACAGACCACAAAAAAAAAAAAAACACACGAAAAGCGGCGACAUAGAACUGGCCAAUGAUUCCAGAUGCAUUGUAUGCAUGUUGAAAUCGACACAGCAAAAAAUGAGGACGCAAGAAGAACAAAUACACACCACUGCGUCGUCUCGCAACUACCCUUAUAAGAAAGCACACCAUUCGAAGGAAACCAAAGGUAUCAAACUCCCCUGAUCUGGUGGACGACAAUCACAAAGAGUUGUACGACUGCUUAAAUUUGCGUCCACCAUGGUGGAUAAGGGGCUAAGGUGCUCACCUGCCGACCCGAAGUUCGGGAGUUUGAUCCUGGCCACGACAGUCACAUCUCUACAUCUCGUUAUAAUGCAACAACCCUGCCUGCUCUACAAAAUUUUUUUACAGUAGGCUGCUUAAAUAUGGGACUGUGCUGCGUUUGCCAAGACUGAAUUAUGCCAUGCAGCUUUUUUAUGAGAAAGAAAUGAAACAGCACCAUGAUUAAAAGAUAAGGUGAAAAUGGCAGACCCAUGUUGUUUCUGUUGCCUUAUCUCUAAUUUAUAGUGCUGCACGAUUCUUUCCUAAAAUAGAUGUAUUCUAUAGUACACCUUCAAUGUGUGCUACUAAGCACAUUGUGAAAAACUGCUCCACACAAUAAAUGAGGGAAUUAUUCAUUUAGGAGUUUAGUAUAGGAGCAGAAGCUUCACUUUGGUAUGCAUAGGUUCUAUAACAAAAAAACAAAACAGAAAAUGACUGUACCACUCUUGCAGGAAGUUAAAAGCAUGCCAACAAUUAUAAAGCAGAAGAAGAAAGGACAAAGGAUUCCGAAGACCUAGCACUCGUAUGUAAUAGUAUAUCACAAUCUUGUGCAUUUAAAAUAAAGCAAUAUUCAUACCCUGA